rnacentral:misc_RNA from 1 species
CCGCCCUCGUCUGCGGGUGACGCACGCUACCGGAAUGGAGUCGAGAGGCCGUGUUCUUGGUGCGGUACGCACACUCUCUGAAGCUGUGUCGGCGCAAGGCAAGUGCGAGAACUCGCGCAGUCUAGUAAUCCAGGUCGUGUCAGGCAGCUGCGAGUCGUUUAGCUUGCACCAGCUAGAGCAGGCGCUGUGCUACUUCACGAACCACAACAGCAACUACACAAACGUAUGCGAGGAUGAGUUUCACGUGUUGGCAGAGGAGACUCUGAACAACUUGAUCCGAUCCAUUCUUGUUUACGACGACUUCUCCGGCUUCUUCGGCGAUGCCGAAGUUUACUCCCUCUCCAUGGCGUUUCAAUACAACCUUUCCGUGGAGGCACUCACUCUGAGAGGCAUCAACAUCAGCGACGAGGCGAUUUGUUCCCUCUGCGAGGCGCUCGUGCGGUCCCGAGUGAACUACAUUGACCUCUCAAACACUCCGUUGGAGGAUGAAGCAGGCCGGUCUAUCGCUGCCUUGGCCCACAUCAACCCGUAUCUGCGCACCGUCAUCGUGGAUGACACCCUCAUCGCCGAUGAUGUGCUGGACGAGAUCGACGUUGCCUGUCAGUUCAACCAGAGCAACUUUGAAGGCAACAAGGGAGAGGUGGAUGAAUCAGUGCUCCGCCCCGCUGAUCUCGGUCGCUUGAAGCACCGCCUCCAGCAGAUCGUUCGAGCUCAGGAAAAGAAGGUGCACUACUGCGUUGCGCACUUGUUCGGAUGCUGCCCGAACGGCGAGAUGUGCCUCUACUCCCACUCCCUCGGGAAGAGCGGAAUGGACGAGACUGAUACGUCGCUCUCUGCAAAGAUAUCGGAGCUGUUCGCUAACGGUGGCAACUGGGAGGAGCGGUUGCCACCGCGCCCUACUGACGGCCCUUCCUGGCGCAAUCCAGAGGACGAGGCCAAGCGAACUCCUCGCGUCAACAACGCACGACGUCGAAGAGAACAGGACAGCAACACCCCCGCGGCAGCGCCUGCGCCGGCUGCGAUGCCGCCGGUGCAGCAGACACGAUGGUCACCGUUGCUGAGUGGACUGGCGGGUAUGUGCUGCGGUUUUCUUGCUGUGGGGCUUGUGGGCGUUGUUACGCGACGUCAGGCACCCCGUCCCUCAUCUGGUUAGAGGAAGCGCGACAGCACGCUCUUUGUCACGCCGCGCAUUCCCUUUCUGUACAUUAAACACAGACAACGGUGAAGGAAAAGGACAAGGAGUGGAGCGUGUCGGCUCGUUGUACUCAGGUGGGCGAAGCGCCUCAUUCAUCGCUCAGCUCAUAUCCUCUUCCUCUCACGACACUCGCGG